rfam:Hymenolepis diminuta genome assembly, scaffold: HDID_contig0000009
UUUAGCUAUGGUGAUAUGGUUCCAAAGACAAUUCUGGGCCAAUUAAUUGGCGGCACCUGCGCUCUCUCCGGUGUCUUGGUAAUUGCUCUUCCCGUUCCAUUCAUCGUUUCCAAC